rnacentral:ncRNA from 1 species
GGGUAAACGGCGGGAGUAACUAUGACUCUUAAGGUAGCCAAAUGCCUCGUUAUCUAAUUAUUGACGCGAAUGAAUGGAUUAACGAGAUUCCCACUAUCCCUGUCUACUAUCCAGCGAAACCAUAGCCAAGGGAACGUGCUUGGCGAAAUAACCGGGGAAAGAAGACCCUGUUGAGAUUGACUCUAGUGCGACUUUGUGAAUUGACUUGAGAGGUGUAGGAUAGGUGGGGAGUUUUGCUGGGGCGGCAAAUUUGUUAAAAGAGAAUGCAGGUGUCCUGAGAUGAGCUCAACGAGAACAGAAAUAUCGUGUGGAAAAAAGGGUAAAAGCUCGUUUGAUU